rnacentral:lncRNA from 12 species
CCGCCUUCUGUGUCCUUCUGAGCCUCUCUCUCCCCCGGACCCCCCACCCCAACCCCAACCCCAACCCCUCCCGGGGGCAGCCUGGGCUGCCAGCAGCAGGCAGGUGGAGGUGGAGGGGGGAGGUUGUCAUUCUUCCCCCUCCCUCCUCCUGCCCCAUGGCUCCUGUACCAUCCGUCUCCUCCUCUCAUCCCAGCUCUGCACGGACCCGUCUCUCUCUCUCUGCCCUCCCCCUGUCUGCCGUCCAGUCCACGUGCACAGCUCAGGCCCCCAGCUCAGGGGGCUCGUGGACCUGGACCUUGCCCGGGCUCUGGUGGGGAAGGGUCCUGUGGGGUCAGGUCAGCCUCAGGUGCUCCCGACCAGGCACCAGCCGAGGCAGCAGAGGCAAGUGUGGAGGAGUGGCACAGCCUUCCUGUGCCUGGGGCCUUCCUAGCCAGCAGAUGGGCUCUUCCCAUGCAUCCUGGGGGUUUGGGGGGUACCGAGCCCAGUCACUGGAUCACAUGAGAGUGGUUCCUCAUGCAGACAGGCAUAGCAGUGCAGCAGCAGGAACACCACCCCUCACCCCCGACCCCUGCACAGGCGGAAGAUCACGCUGGCCCCGGAACCCAGGAGCGGCCAGCCCUACAAAGCAUACGGCAGCCUGGCAGGCACCAAGCCUUCGAAUAGCACGGCGUCACAGGAAAGUAUCCAACAGGCUGCUGGGGGCCUGGACAGGUGCAUGGCCCACAGCCUUCUGGGAGAAGGGCCCGGGAGACUGGAGCCCCGAGGAAGGCCCUCAUGGAGAGGCCAUGCUGGCCUGGGUGGCUGUGUGGGUUUGGAUCUGCCCAUGGGCAUGCACAGAGGAGACAAUGCCUUUGGGUACGGUCUUCCCUUUCCGUUCCCACCUCCGUCCUGUCCCGUGGAUACUGCCAGGGCCAGGGCUCCUCCCGUCCAGGUCCUGGUCCCUCGGACACUGUCAGGGUGCUUGCCACAGUGCGCACUUAUGAUCCCAUGUGCACUCCCACGCAUGUGCACAGCUUCCCCCCACCCAUCCUGCACACCACAGUGCGCCCUGGAUGCUCCCUGAGUCGCCAGCCAGUAGGAUUCCAGGCCUGCCCCCAGGGCUUCCACAUUGCUAAUGACAGCAUGGUGGACACCCCAUGGGGUACCUUGGCCACACAGUGAGCAUCCCUCUGGGUCAAACUCUGGAGAAGGGGAUCCCUGGGUGGCUCAGUGGUUUGGCGCCUGCCUUCAGCCCAGGGCACAAUCCUGGAGUCCUAGGAUCAAGUCCCACCUUGGGCUCCUUGCAUGGAGCCUGCUUCUCCCUCUGCCUGUGUCUCUGCCUCUGUGUGUGUGUGUGUGUGUGUGUGUGUGUGUGUGUGUGUGUGUGUCUCAUGAAUAAAUGAAUAAAAUCUUUAAAAAAAAAAAAAAAA